GAUGAAGAACGUAGCGAAAUGCGAUAAGUAAUGUGAAUUGCAGAUUUCAGUGAAUCAUCGAAUCUUUGAACGCACCUUGCGCCUUGUGGUUUUCCACAAGGCAUGCCCGUUUGAGUAUCAUUAAAUCAUCAACUCUAAAACCUUUGUGGUUUUUUUAGAGCUUGGUCUUGAGGGUUUUGCAGGCUUUUUUUUUUUCGAGUCUGCUCCCUUUAAAUGCAUUAGCGAGACUUCCCUAUGCUGAACCGUCUCUUUGACGUGAUAAUUAUCUGCGUCGAAUUUUGGUUCUCGUUGGGCUUGCUUCUAAUCGUCUGUUAAAGACAAAACGGAUUUGGGUGCAUAUAUGCGCCUUUUUCCAAAACCUUUUUUGAUCUCAAAUCGGGUAGGACUACCCGCUGAACUUAAGCAUAUCAAUAAGCGGAGGA
rnacentral:misc_RNA from 1 species